GACGAACGCUGGCGGCGUGCUUAACACAUGCAAGUCGAACGGAAAGGCCCUGCUUUUGUGGGGUGCUCGAGUGGCGAACGGGUGAGUAACACGUGAGUAACCUGCCCUUGACUUUGGGAUAACUUCAGGAAACUGGGGCUAAUACCGGAUAGGAGCUCCUGCUGCAUGGUGGGGGUUGGAAAGUUUCGGCGGUUGGGGAUGGACUCGCGGCUUAUCAGCUUGUUGGUGGGGUAGUGGCUUACCAAGGCUUUGACGGGUAGCCGGCCUGAGAGGGUGACCGGCCACAUUGGGACUGAGAUACGGCCCAGACUCCUACGGGAGGCAGCAGUGGGCAAUAUUGCACAAUGGGCGGAAGCCUGAUGCAGCAACGCCGCGUGCGUGAUGACGGCCUUCGGGUUGUAAACCGCUUUCGCCUGUGACGAAGCGUGAGUGACGGUAAUGGGUAAAGAAGCACCGGCUAACUACGUG
rnacentral:rRNA from 1 species